rnacentral:lncRNA from 1 species
CUGCACUGCUCAUGCCAGAGACCCGCUGAAAGGUCACCCCAGAAUGGCUGUGUUGGGAGGGGCUUGCUUAGCAGUGUGGGUCCUGAACUGUGAUCUUUAACUCUCCACUUUGGGGGGUAAAAGCAAGAGUAAAGAAUUCCAAAGGAGCCCCAAAUUCAGAUUUUUGGAAUGAUAAUAUAACCAGAAGUUUUUUUUUUCCUCUCUCUGAAUUACUGUAAACAGCAAGGAGACACAGCCCAUGCAGUUCUUUUAAAUAAGCAGUGAGAAGCCCCUGUGUCUUCCUGGAGGUUUGUAAGCAGAUGUUGCUGAGCCUGCAUCAGACUGGGUUUCUACAUCAUUUAAUCACUUGUCUUGACAUAUCACUUCCGGACACUGCUUGAACCUGUGCAGAAUGAGUUGAGGAGUUUUUUCUGCUACAAAUCCAAGUCCUUGCACAGGCUGAUUUGUUGUACUUAUGAACUAUAUUCCAUGGUAUGUUCCCUUUAUUGUCAACUUCAUACAAGCUAGAGUUAUCAGGAAAGAGGAAAACCUCAAAUGAGAAAAUUCUUCCAUCUGCUUGACCCAUAGGUUCCCGCCUUGAGUUCCUGUCCUGACUUCCCUUCACGAUAGUCUGAAAGCUGUAAGAUCAAAUAAACCCUUUCCUGAGUUGAUUUUGGUCCUGGUCUUCAUUCAGAUCAAUACAAACCUUAGAUGCCACAUACCAGCAUGUGAUGAAGACCAGGGGUCCUCUAAGAAGACCAUGAGCUGGGAUUGCCCAAUCUUAAAGUUUUGUCCUCCAAAACUGAGGAGAAAAAAAAUUAACAUGUCCUGCUGGUACCAGAAGCCACUGCAUUGUCAUCUGCCAUCCUAGCAAGACCAUGAAAACCACAGAAUCAGUAGCCUGCGGAUUUCACAUUAGAUUACAGUGAAUGAACCCAUGGAUGAACACCAUCUGGC